rnacentral:rRNA from 1 species
AGUGAGGAAUAUUGCACAAUGAGCGCAAGCUAGAUGCAGCAACGCCGCGUGAACGAUGAAGGCCUUCGGGUUGUAAAGUUCUUUUGAGAGAGAAGAGUAAGGACUGUAUCUCUCGAAAAAGUCACGGCUAACUACGUGCCAGCAGCCGCGGUAACACGUAGGUGGCAAGCGUUAUCCGGAUUUAUUGGGCGUAAAGCGCGUGUAGGUGGCCAAGCAAGUCGGAUGUGAAAGCUCUGGACUUAACCUGGAGAGGUCAUUCGAUACUGUUUGGCUUGAGAGCGAGAGAGGGAAGCGGAAUUCCCGGUGUAGUGGUGAAAUGCGUAGAUAUCGGGAGGAACGCCAGUGGCGAAGGCGGCUUCCUGGUUCGUUUCUGACACUAAAGCGCGAAAGCGUGGGGAGCGAACGGACUUAGAUACUCCGGUAGUCCACGCUGUAAACGAUGGGUACUAGGUGUAGGGAGUAUUGACCCUCUCUGUGCCGUAGUUAACACGUUAAGUACCCCGCCUGAGGACUACGACCGCAAGGUUAAAACUCAAAGGAAUUGACGGGGACCCGCACAAGCAGCGGAGCGUGUGGUUUAAUUCGAUGAUACACGAAGAACCUUACCUGGGUUUGACAUGGUGGUAGUAGUGAAGCGAAAGCGGAACGAUCCUUCGGGAAGCCAUCACAGGUGCUGCAUGGCUGUCGUCAGCUCGUGCCGUGAGGUGUUGGGUUAAGUCCUGUAACGAGCGCAACCCUCGCUGCCAGUUACAAGUGUCUGGCGGGACUGCCGGUGAUAAACCGGAGGAAGGUGGGGAUGAUGUCAAGUCAGCAUGGCCUUUAUAUCCAGGGCUACACACACGCUACAAUGGCCGGUACAAUGGGUUGCCAAGCCGCGAGGCGGAGCUAAUCCUCAAAACCGGUCUCAGUUCGGAUUGCAGGCUGCAACCCGCCUGCAUGAAGUUGGAGUUGCUAGUAAACGCGCGUCAGCUAUAGUGCGUUGAAUACGUUCCCGGGUCUUGUACACACCGCCCGUCACGUCAUGGGAGUCGGUAACACCUGAAGUCGGUGGGCUAACCCGCAAGGGAGGCAGCUGUCGAAGGUGGGACUGGCGACUGGGACG